UGUCAAGAGAUGGGAAUCGAACCCACGACCUUCCGCUUACCGGGCAGAUGCCAUGACCACUAGGCUACCCUGGAC